UUUUAUUCUCGUUGUUCUUCAGCAUAUACCCAACUGUAACCAAACUGGAGCCUAGUUAUAUCCUAGUUGGGAAGCACUGUGUUAUAUAAUUCUAUUAAUGUUAACCUUUAAUGCUUCUCAGCUUUAACUGUAAGAACACACUACCUCCUCAUCACUCUGGUGACAUGUGAAGGCUGGAAAACCUGAUGUUCAGGAAAAAAUUUACAAUAAACAGACUAUGAAGACAAUGACAUCUCUAAUCCUCAUACUGUAGAAGAUGAAGCAAGAGAAAUACCACAAGUUUCAAGCCAGGAUGGGAGACACUCAGUGAGUUUUAGAUCAACCUAGGCUGCAGUCUGAGAUCUUGACAAAGAGAAGAUAAUAAAAGAAGACAGCAAAAGUGACUCGAAUUUCAAGAUAAGAAUCUGUAAAGGCUUUUCUACCUGACUUGGCAACAAGUAUUAAAUUCUAA
rnacentral:lncRNA from 1 species